rnacentral:rRNA from 1 species
UAAUACGAAGGGUGCAAGCGUUACUCGGAAUUACUGGGCGUAAAGCGUGCGUAGGCGGUUUGUUAAGUCUGCUGUGAAAGCCCUGGGCUCAACCUGGGAACUGCAGUGGAUACUGGCGAGCUAGAGUGUGUCAGAGGAUGGUGGAAUUCCCGGUGUAGCGGUGAAAUGCGUAGAGAUCGGGAGGAACACCAGUGGCGAAGGCGGCCAUCUGGGACAACACUGACGCUGAGGCACGAAAGCGUGGGGAGCAAACAGG